UGGCAGCAGGCCUCCAAGGAGCCAGAUUCUCAUCGUUGCAGGAGGUGCUGCCACACAAUGGGACAGCAUGGGUGGAUCCAUGGACAGUCUCAGAAGAAGAUUGAUAAGUGACUAGAACAUGGACUCUUGAAUAAGACAUCUCAGUUCAAUUCCUGGUGCUCCUUCUUCCUAAAUGUGUGAUCUUGGACAAGCUACUUAACCUCUCUGUCUCUCUGUUUCCUCAUGUGUUGAAUGGAGAUAAUAAUAGUACCAACUUCAUUUUAGUGUUGAUACAUUCAUACUCCUUAGAAUAGCAUCUGGCACCUAGAAAUUUUCCAACAAAUAAAACCAAUUAUUAUUA
rnacentral:lncRNA from 1 species